AGAGUUUGAUCCUGGCUCAGAAUGAACGUUGGCGGCAUCGAUUAGGCAUGCAAGUCGAGCGGAAAGGCCCCUUCGGGGGUACUCGAGCGGCGAAAGGGUGAGUAAUACGUAGACAACCUGCCCCGAUGACUGGGAUAGCCACUGGAAACGGUGGGUAAUACCGGAUACGACAUAAGAAUCUCCUGUUUUUUAUGUCAAAGGUAGCUUCGGCUGCCGCAUUGGGAGGGGUCUACGCACUAUUAGCUUGUUGGUAAGGUAAUGGCUUACCAAGGCGACGAUCUCUAGCUGGUUUGAGAGGAUGAUCAGCCACACUGGGACUGAGACACGGCCCAGACUCCUACGGGAGGCAGCAGUGGGGAAUAUUGCACAAUGGGCGAAAGCCUGAUGCAGCCAUGCCGCGUGUGUGAAGAAGGCCUUCGGGUUGUAAAGCACUUUCAGUUGUGAGGAAAGGUUGUAGUUUAAUAUGCUGCAACUGUGACGUUAACAACAGAAGAAGCACCGCUAACUU
rnacentral:rRNA from 1 species